rnacentral:misc_RNA from 1 species
GAAAUGCGAUAAUUAAUGUGAAUUGCAGAAUUCAGUGAAUCAUCGAGUCUUUGAACGCACAUUGCGCCCCCUGGUAUUCCGGGGGGCAUGCCUGUCCGAGCGUCAUUGCUGCCCUCAAGCACGGCUUGUGUGUUGGGCUUCCGUCCCUGGCAACGGGGACGGGCCCAAAAGGCAGUGGCGGCACCAUGUCUGGUCCUCGAGCGUAUGGGGCUUUGUCACCCGCUCCCGUAGGUCCAGCUGGCAGCUAGCCUCGCAACCAAUCUUUUUAACCAGGUUGACCUCGGAUCAGGUAGGGAUACCCGCUGAACUUAAGU